AACGAACGCUGGCGGCAUGCCUAACACAUGCAAGUCGAACGAGACCUUCGGGUCUAGUGGCGCACGGGUGCGUAACGCGUGGGAACCUGCCUUUAGGUUCGGAAUAACUCAGAGAAAUUUGAGCUAAUACCGGAUAAUGUCUUCGGACCAAAGAUUUAUCGCCUUUAGAUGGGCCCGCGUUGGAUUAGCUAGUUGGUGGGGUAAAGCCUACCAAGGCGACGAUCCAUAGCUGGUCUGAGAGGAUGAUCAGCCACACUGGGACUGAGACACGGCCCAGACUCCUACGGAGGCAGCAGUGGGAAUAUUGGACAAUGGG
rnacentral:rRNA from 1 species